rnacentral:rRNA from 1 species
GACGAACUGUGCAAACGUUAUUCGGAAUCACUGGGCUUGAAGAGUGCGUAGGCGGUUUCGUAAGUAGGGUGUGAAAGCCCUCGGCUCAACCGGGGAAUUGCGUCCUAAACUGCGAGGCUGGAGUGAGGUAGGGGUGUGCGGAACUUCCAGUGGAGCGGUGAAAUGUGUUGAUAUUGGGAGGAACGCCGGUUGCGAAAGCGGCACACUGGACCCUGUCUGACGCUGAGGCACUAAAGCCAGGGGAGCAAACGGG